rnacentral:rRNA from 1 species
CAUUACCGAGUUUACAACUCCCAACCCCAAUGUGAACGUUACCAAACUGUUGCCUCGGCGGGGUCACGCCCCGGGUGCGUCGCAGCCCCGGAACCAGGCGCCCGCCGGAGGAACCAACCAAACUCUUUCUGUAGUCCCCUCGCGGACGUAUUUCUUACAGCUCUGAGCAAAAAUUCAAAAUGAAUCAAAACUUUCAACAACGGAUCUCUUGGUUCUGGCAUCGAUGAAGAACGCAGCGAAAUGCGAUAAGUAAUGUGAAUUGCAGAAUUCAGUGAAUCAUCGAAUCUUUGAACGCACAUUGCGCCCGCCAGUAUUCUGGCGGGCAUGCCUGUCCGAGCGUCAUUUCAACCCUCGAACCCCUCCGGGGGAUCGGCGUUGGGGAUCGGGACCCCUCACACGGGUGCCGGCCCCUAAAUACAGUGGCGGUCUCGCCGCAGCCUCUCCUGCGCAGUAGUUUGCACAACUCGCACCGGGAGCGCGGCGCGCCCACGUCCGUAAAACACCCAACUUUCUGAAAUGUUGACCUCGGAUCAGGAAGGAAUACCCGCUGAACUUAAGCAUAUCA